rnacentral:rRNA from 1 species
GAUGAACGCUGGCGGCGUGCCUAAUACAUGCAAGUCGAGCGACCAGAUAAGGAGCUUGCUCCUUUGACGUUAGCGGCGGACGGGUGAGUAACACGUGGGUAACCUACCUAUAAGACUGGAAUAACUACGGGAAAACGGGGCCAAUGCCGGAUAACAUGUCGUACCGCAUGGUUCAACAGUGCAUGGCGGCUUUGCUGUCACUUAUAGCUGGACCCGUGCCGUAUUAGCUAGUUGGUGAGGUAACGGCUCACCAAGGCAACGAUACGUAGCCGACCUGAGAGGGUGAUCGGCCACACUGGAACUGAGACACGGUCCAGACUCCUACGGGAGGCAGCAGUAGGGAAUCUUGCGCAAUGGGCGAAAGCCUGACGGAGCAACGCCGCGUGAGUGAUGAAGGUCUUCGGAUCGUAAAGCUCUGUUAUUAGGAAAGAACAAAUGCGUAAGUAACUGUGCGCGUCUUGACGGUACCUAAUCAGAAAGCCACGGCUAACUACGUG